AUAUCCAAAAAUUGUUACGCCACGCCCACUAGAAGUUAUUCAGAUUGUGUUUAAAUAUCGCUACUCUCCUAACUUUAAAAGCAAAGUUGAGGAUGGAAAAGCUAGAAUUUGUGCUGAUAAUCUCAAGGAUGAAGAUAUUCAAAGGGCCAAUAAAAAAUGUUGGAUUAAGUUUGUGGCAUCACCCACAACAUACUAUUCUUAUCACAGUUUACAUGCGAUACCGGAAAUAAGCCUUCUAAUUUGACCAAAAACAAUUUUCCUUUUCUUGCGCUUUCGCUGGAGUUUAUUCUUUCACAAUAUCAUCGGCAAUUUCAAUCCUACUCAAAAACUUGGUUGAUCUCACCCUGUGUUUGGGAUAUGAUAUUGUUUCCACGAAUAGUUCAUGGAUUCCCAGAAGUGUUCCAGAAAUAGAAGAUGAUGGCAGAAUUUUCUUGAAAUUAAGAUAUCUCAACUUUCAAUGUGAAAUAGCAUAUUCUUAUGCUGGUACAGGACCCAACAUCUGCUACACUUGUAUGCGUCUCCAUGUGCAUGAUCAAGACAGUGACAAGAGAAAAUUCAGCCUUUUUACAACAUCUAUGAUAAAAGAUGAGAAUGGCUUGAGAAAGGUUUUCUAAAAUACCUGGAUAUUGGGAAGAAAAGGCAUACAGUCGGCCAUUAGUGGGAGAAGUUAAUCGCCAGAAAAUGCUGCUCAGUGAUGCCACAAAAAAUGGCUUGAGAAUGGCAUCUAUUUCUAUGGCUGCGAUUAUUUGUAUUGUUUUGGACAGUGGUGCGAGCUAUGUUUUACCAUGGUGAAUAAACCAAGACCCUUUAGAGCAGGGGUUCUCAAACUUUUUGUGUUGCGGAGCCCUUGAAAAAGUUGACUACUAUUCACGGAGCCCCAAAAUAUAUGUUAAAAUUGUUACUUUCCGAAUAAUAUUCCUGAGUAAG